UACAGAGGUCUCAAGCGUUGUUCGGAUUCAUUGGGCGUAAAGGGUGUGUAGGUGGCGCCGUAAGUCGGGUGUGAAAUUUCGGAGCUUAACUCCGAAACUGCAUUCGAUACUGCGGUGCUUGAGGACUGGAGAGGAGACUGGAAUUCAUGGUGUAGCAGUGAAAUGCGUAGAUAUCAGGAGGAACACCUGUGGCGAAAGCGGCGCACUGGACCACAACUGACGCUGAGGCGCGAAAGCUAGGGGAGCAAACAGG
rnacentral:rRNA from 1 species